rnacentral:rRNA from 1 species
UACGGGGGGGCAAGCGUUGUUCGGAAUUACUGGGCGUAAAGGGCUCGUAGGCGGCCAACUAAGUCAGACGUGAAAUCCCUCGGCUUAACCGGGGAACUGCGUCUGAUACUGGAUGGCUUGAAUCCGGGAGAGGGAUGCGGAAUUCCAGGUGUAGCGGUGAAAUGCGUAGAUAUCUGGAGGAACACCGGUGGCGAAGGCGACAUCCUGGACCGGUAUUGACGCUGAGUGAGCGAAAGCCAGGGGAGCAAACGGG